rnacentral:tRNA from 1 species
GGGCGCAUAGCUCAGUGGCAGAGCACUUCCUCGACACGGAAGGGGUCUCAGGUUCAAAUCCUGAUGCGCCCA